rnacentral:rRNA from 1 species
GACGAACGCUGGCGGCGUGCUUAACACAUGCAAGUCGAACGGAAAGGCCCUGCUUUUGUGGGGUGCUCGAGUGGCGAACGGGUGAGUAACACGUGAGUAACCUGCCCUUGACUUUGGGAUAACUUCAGGAAACUGGGGCUAAUACCGGAUAGGAGCUCCUGCUGCAUGGUGGGGGUUGGAAAGUUUCGGCGGUUGGGGAUGGACUCGCGGCUUAUCAGCUUGUUGGUGGGGUAGUGGCUUACCAAGGCUUUGACGGGUAGCCGGCCUGAGAGGGUGACCAGCCACAUUGGGACUGAGAUACGGCGCAGACUCCUACGGGAGGCAGCAGUGGGGAAUAUUGCAGAAUGGGCGGAAGCCUGAUGCAGCAACGUCGCGUGCGGGAUGACGGCCUUCGGGUUGUAAACCGCUUUCGCCGGUGACGAAGCGGGAGUGACGGUAAUGGGUAAAGAAGCACCGGCUAACUACGUG